GCCUACGGCUGCUGCUGCUGUUGCAUGGCCUGCACAGCUUCAGUGAGGCCUCUGACCUACUGCACCAGUAGGUCGAAUUGCUCCACGCCAACCCCUGCUGUCGGAGGAGGGGGUAGAGGCUGGGAGACCGGAGGUGAGGUCGGAGCCUGAGAUCUAGUCACGGAGGCCGUGGAUCACCGUGUGGAUGCCCUAUGGGGAUGCAUCGGGCAAAGACCUAGUGGGGGAAGGAGGAG
rnacentral:lncRNA from 1 species